ensembl:antisense_RNA anr-22 ncRNA
CCUCUUUUUUGUCAUUCAAAGAAAAAAUGAAGGCGUCAAAUCCAGAUUCUAUCUGCGUCUCUUGUCCCCUUCACUACAUUUUCGGCUUCUUGAGAAAACCGCAAAUUGUAUGCCACCCAUGCUGGAUUCAGAAGAUUGUCCAAAUUUCGAAUAUCUGAAAAUUACAUUUUAAUAAUAUUAUCUCGAAUAUGUUAUAUCUUAAUGCAAAUUUUAUUUUUUUGUUUUAUAAAUAAAUAUUAAAUUUGU